CUCUUCUCAGUGAGCUCCUUUCUGCCACUGGUGGCAGUUCUUGGAUUCGCACGAGAAGAAGAGCCAGAUUCCCAGGCGAGCCCCGUGAGCCUCCCUUCUGCCAAUGGGGGUUAGUUCCACUGCCUGUGAGACAUUU
rnacentral:snoRNA from 1 species